CGACGCUUGGAAUCAAGAUGCUUUGGGCCCGGGAAGUAAUAGCUGCCGAUCAAGGGGAUCUCUUCACGGCAGCCGGUAUAGCCGGUUAGGUGCGACCCGCAAGGGCGAGAAGGCAAUGGCAGGGCAGCGUAAAAACCCAACCACGGGCGCUGUCACUGUCCUAAAACCCACCAACCGCCAGACGCCGAAGAGGGCAGGGGGCGCAGUGGUAAACAAUCCCCGAAAGUCUGGAACGCCU
rnacentral:sRNA from 12 species